rnacentral:rRNA from 1 species
CCUACGGGCGGCUGCAGUGGGGAAUUUUCCACAAUGGGCGAAAGCCUGAUGGAGCAACGCCGCGUGUGUGAUGAAGGUCUUCGGAUCGUAAAGCACUUUCGACCGGGACGAAAAACCUCUGGCUAACAUCCAGGGGCCUGACGGUACCGGGAGAAGAAGCACCGGCUAACUCUGUGCCAGCAGCCGCGGUAAUACAGAGGGUGCAAGCGUGGUCCGGAAGCAUGGGGCGGAGAGCGUGCAUGGGCGGCGUGAAAGCCCACGGCUUAACCGUGGAAGUGCGCUCGAAACUGCAGAGCUUGAGUGUCGGAGAGGAUGGCGGAAUUCCGCAAGUAGAGGUGAAAUUCGUAGAUAUGCGGAGGAACACCGGUGGCGAAGGCGGCCAUCUGGACGACAACUGACGCUGAGACGCGAAAGCGUGGGGAGCAAACAGGAUUAGAUACCCGUGUAGUC